UACGAGGGGGGCGAGCGUUGUUCGGAAUCACUGGGCGUAAAGCGUGCGUAGGUUGUUUUGUAAGUUGGAAGUGAAAGCCCAGGGCUUAACCCUGGAAUUGCUUUCAAAACUACAUGACUAGAAUUCGGGAGAGGAUAGCGGAAUUUCCAGUGUAGCAGUGAAAUGCGUAGAUAUUGGAAGGAACACCGGUGGCGUAAGCGGCUAUCUGGACCGACAUUGACACUGAGGCACGAAAGCAUGGGGAUCAAACAGG
rnacentral:rRNA from 1 species